rnacentral:lncRNA from 1 species
AUGCGGAUGAAGAUGCUAUUUAAUGCGAUGCUGUUUAACUGGGCACCCUGCAUGGAAACUGGAGCUCUGUUGUUAGCCCCAUUUCACAGGUUUCUCAUAGGAAGAUACAAGCUGUCACGAUCCCUUGCCAAUCACAUGAGAACUGACCUAGGGAGAACAUCAACCGAAGACAGGAAAUGA